rnacentral:rRNA from 1 species
GACGAACGCUGGCGGCGUGCUUAACACAUGCAAGUCGAACGGAAAGGCCCUGCUUUUGUGGGGUGCUCGAGUGGCGAACGGGUGAGUAACACGUGAGUAACCUGCCCUUGACUUUGGGAUAACUUCAGGAAACGGCGGCUAAUACCGGAUACGAGCUCCUGCUGCAUGGUGGGGUUCGGAAAGGUUCGGCGGUUGGGGAUGGACUCGCGGCUUAUCAGCUUGUUGGUGGGGUAGUGGCUUACCAAGGCGUUGACGGGUAGCCGGCCUGAGAGGGUGACCGGCCACAUUGGGACUGAGAUACGGCCCAGACUCCUACGGGAGGCAGCAGUGGGGAAUAUUGCACAAUGGGCGGAAGCCUGAUGCAGCAACGCCGCGUGCGGGAUGACGGCCUUCGGGUUGUAAACCGCUUUCGGCUGUGACGAAGCGAGAGUGACGGUAAUGGGUAAAGAAGCACCGGCUAACUACGUG